GACAGAGGUGCCAAGCGUUAGGCGGAAUCACUGGGCUUAAAGCGUGUGUAGGCGGGCGAUCAAGUGACCUUGUGAAAUCCCACGGCUCAACCGUGGAACUGCUGGGGUAUACUGGUUGUCUUGAGCCAGCUAGGGGGCGAGCGGGAACAGACGGUGGAGCGGUGAAAUGCGUAGAUAUCGUCUGGAACGCCGAAGGUGAAAACAGCUCGCUGGGCGUGACGCCAUGGACGCUGAGGAGCACGAAAGGACC
rnacentral:rRNA from 1 species